UACGAAGGGGGCUAGCGUUGUUCGGAAUCACUGGGCGUAAAGGGCGCGUAGGCGGCUUUAUAAGUCAGGGGUGAAAGCCUGUGGCUCAACCACAGAAUUGCCUUCGAUACUGUAGAGCUUGAGACCGGAAGAGGUAAGUGGAACUGCGAGUGUAGAGGUGAAAUUUGUAGAUAUUCGCAAGAACACCAGUGGCGAAGGCGGCUUACUGGUCCGGUUCUGACGCUGAGGCGCGAAAGCGUGGGGAGCAAACAGG
rnacentral:rRNA from 1 species